CCUACGGGAGGCAGCAGUGAGGAAUAUUGGUCAAUGGCCGUAAGUCUGAACCAGCCAAGUCGCGUGAAGGAAGAAGGCUCUAUGGUUUGUAAACUUCUUUUAUAGGGGAAUAAAGGUAUCUACGCGUGGAUAUCUGCAUGUAUCCUAUGAAUAAGCAUCGGCUAACUCCGUGCCAGCAGCCGCGGUAAUACGGAGGAUGCGAGCGUUAUCCGGAUUUAUUGGGUUUAAAGGGUGCGUAGGUUGUUUUUUAAGUCAGCGGUGAAAGUUUGUGGCUCAACCAUGGAAUUGCCGUUGAUACUGGAAGGCUUGAGUGUGUUUGAGGUAGGCGGAAUGCGUGGUGUAGCGGUGAAAUGCGUAGAUAU
rnacentral:rRNA from 1 species